rnacentral:rRNA from 1 species
UUUACCUACGGGAGGCAGCAGUGGGGAAUAUUGCACAAUGGGGGGAACCCUGAUGCAGCGACGCCGCGUGAGUGAAGAAGUAUUUCGGUAUGUAAAGCUCUAUCAGCAGGGAAGAAGAUGACGGUACCUGACUAAGAAGCCCCGGCUAACUACGUGCCAGCAGCCGCGGUAAUACGUAGGGGGCAAGCGUUAUCCGGAUUUACUGGGUGUAAAGGGAGCGUAGACGGCAGGGCAAGUCUGAAGUGAAAGCCCGGGGCUCAACCCCGGGACUGCUUUGGAAACUGUAUGGCUGGAGUGCUGGAGAG